UUGCUCCACCGGAAAAAGAGGAGUGGCGAACGGGUGAGUAACACGUGGGUAACCUGCCCAUCAGAAGGGGAUAACACUUGGAAACAGGUGCUAAUACCGUAUAACAAUCGAAACCGCAUGGUUUUGAUUUGAAAGGCGCUUUCGGGUGUCACUGAUGGAUGGACCCGCGGUGCAUUAGCUAGUUGGUGAGGUAACGGCUCACCAAGGCCACGAUGCAUAGCCGACCUGAGAGGGUGAUCGGCCACAUUGGGACUGAGACACGGCCCAAACUCCUACGGGAGGCAGCAGUAGGGAAUCUUCG
rnacentral:rRNA from 1 species